rnacentral:misc_RNA from 1 species
CAGAACCCAUCUUGAAUUCUCUCGUUUCUGAUAAUACUCGCAAUUUCGAGCCUAUUCUCUGUCUUUUCUUUCUAUUGCUUUCCGAUUGCAAUGGAUUACAAAUUUGAUUCACCGCAAGACUGAAACGAUUUUAGGAGUAGAUAUCGGAGGAGGAGGGGAAAGGAAGGCGGUGGAGGAUGAAGCUAAGAUUGAAGUUGGAAGUAAGAAAAACACUGAAUUUGGACGCGAUU